rnacentral:rRNA from 1 species
AGAAUCAACGCUGGCGGCGUGCCUAACACAUGCAAGUCGCACGAGAAAGGGACUUCGGUCCUGAGUACAGUGGCGCACGGGUGAGUAACACGUGAAUAAUCUACCUCCGAGUGGGGAAUAACUGAGAGAAAUCUUAGCUAAUACCGCAUAACACUUACGAGUCAAAGCAGCAAUGCGCUUGGAGAGGAGUUCGCGGCAGAUUAGUUAGUUGGCGGGGUAAUGGCCCACCAAGACGAUGAUCUGUAUCCGGCCUGAGAGGGCGCGACGGACGACGACUGGAACUGAAACACGGUCCAGACUCCUACGGGAGGCAGCAGUGGGGAAUUUUGCGCAAUGGGGGAAACCCUGACGCAGCAACGCCGCGUGGAGGAUGAAAUAUCUUGGUAUGUAAACUCCUUUCGAUGGGGAAGAUAAUGACGGUACCCAUAGAAGAAGCCCCGGCUAACUUCGUGCCAGCAGCCGC